CUGAAGGGCUUGGACCACAUUUCCCGGCGUGCCCCGGGACCGUAUUUUCCGCCCACUCUCUUCCGUACCCCGCUGAGCUCGAGCUCGGGUUUCUCUGUGUAGUCCUCGCUGUCCUGGAACUCACUGAAGACCAGACUGGCCUCAAAUUCAGAGAUUCACCUAACUCUGUGUCCUGAGGGAUUCCGUCCGGAUCCGGGAUUUAAACUGUUUGCCCACCUUCCUGCUCUGCUUCCAUGUUAGCUGAAAGGUCCAAACCACUGCUCUCAGCAAGGGCUGCCCCAUCCCACAAAACAGCAGGAGUACAACAUGAUGAACCACUGAUAACGUUCUCCUGGGAUGGGAGCAGAGUGCUGAACCCUGGGGACCUGAAGCACACGUGGACACAAUCCCUGCAGUGCAUGGACAUAUGAAAAGUGAUUGCAAGCUCAUGUAGCACUUUGUUUAUGGAAAUCUGCCCUGCUGCUGGAGUUGAGAGACUUCUCGUGGCCA